rnacentral:rRNA from 1 species
UGCCUGCCCGGUGAUUUUUUAAAAUUAAACGGCUGCGGUAUUCUGACCGUGCAAAGGUAGCAUAAUCAUUAGCCUGCUAAUUUCAGGCUGGAAUCAAUGGCAAGACGAAGAAAAAGCUGUCUCUUUACAUUUUAUUUGAAUUUUUCGUUUUGGUUAAGAGACCAAAAUAGUUUAGUGGGACGAGAAGACCCUAUUGAGCUUUAAGUUUUUAUUAGAGGUGUAUUUUAAUAUUAAGUUUUGGUUGGGGCAACGGUUUUUUUAAUUAGACAAAGAGAAUAAAGGAUGAAUUAAUUCUUGUUUUGACCCAAGUAACAUAUUUUGGUAAAUAGAAAAAGUUACCAUAGGGAUAACAGCGUAAUUCUUUUUGAGAGUACCUAUUGACAAAAGAGUUUGCGACCUCGAUGUUGGAUCAGGUUUACCUAGAGGUGCAGCAGCUUCUAAGGGUUGGUUUGUUCAACCAUAAAAAACUU